CCUACGGGUGGCUGCAGUGGGGAAUAUUGGACAAUGGGCGAAAGCCUGAUCCAGCCAUGCCGCGUGUGUGAAGGAGGCCUUCGGGUUGUAAAGCACUUUCAGUGGGGAAGAAAGCCUUGGGGCUAAUACCCUCGAGGAAGGACAUCACCCACAGAAGAAGCACCGGCUAACUCCGUGCCAGCAGCCGCGGUAAUACGGAGGGUGCGGGCGUUAAUCGGAAUUACUGGGCGUAAAGCGCGCGUAGGCGGUCUGAUAAGCCGGUUGUGAAAGCCCCGGGCUCAACCUGGGAACGGCAUCCGGAACUGUCAGGCUAGAGUGCAGGAGAGGAAGGUAGAAUUCCCGGUGUAGCGGUGAAAUGCGUAGAGAUCGGGAGGAAUACCAGUGGCGAAGGCGGCCUUCUGGACUGACACUGACGCUGAGGUGCGAAAGCGUGGGUAGCAAACAGGAUUAGAUACCCCUGUAGUC
rnacentral:rRNA from 1 species